ACUAAUUCAACUUUCUAGCCUCAUCAGUAGUACCUCAUAAAAAUUCUAUGCAUUGAUUGUCCACCAUUUUCAGCACACUUUGAGGGAGAAUAAGACUGAACCCCAGCUAUAUAGUGAAAACAGAACUGAGUUGAUGAUCUGAAUUUUGCCUGCAUAGGACAAGUGUCUUGUUUUUGGGUCCCUGAUCUUAGCUGUAAUCUUGAUACAUAGUUAGUGGCAUUCUAGUUUACUUCAUUUCUUAUGAGAUAAUGGAAAACCAAGAUAUUUUAUGUGGAAUGUCCCUACUACAAAACCAGUUAUCUCCAAUAAUUUUUGUUUAGUUAUAUCAUUCACCCCUGCAAUGAACCUACUGGAUUUCUCAUUGUUUGCAACUAGUCCAGUGGUGGCAGAGAAGUAUUGAAUAGCUUUCAUUACCCUUAUCACUGAUGGUUCUGCCCCUUUACACACUAUCAUUAAAUCAUCAACAAAUGUUAGAUGGGUAAGUUGUUGAUUCUUGUACAUUGGAUGGAAUCUAAAAUUAGGCAACUUACUCAUCCUAUUCAUGAUCCUAGAGAAGUAUUCCAUUACCAGGACAAAGAGGAGAGGUGAUAUGGGGUCGCCCUGCCUCAAGCCUCUUCUGCCUGGAAAGAAACCACACCCCUCCCCAUUUACUUUGACAGAGAACCAUGUAGUUGUAACACACUCCAUCAUCAGAUUAGUGAAUUUUGGGGGGAAACCAAAACCAUCAAGCAUUUCCCUCAAAAAUUUCCAUUUAAACAUAUCAUAGGCUUUUUUAAGGUCAAUCUUUAUUAGGCAUCUUGGGGAGGUCUGCCUAUUAUAGUGCCUCAACAAGUCAUGGCAUACUAGCACAUUCUGAAUUAGUGACCUCUCUUUCACAAAAGCAGCCUGAUUAGAACUUACUAUUGUUGGUAGAAUAGUGUUAAGCCUACUAUAGAUAAAUUUAGAUAUGCAUUUGUACAUGACAUUGCAACAUGCAAUUGGCCUGUACUGACUAGCAUUAGCAGGACUGUCCA